CGAGAAGCUAAGAAUGAUUGCCAAGGAAAUCCGUCAUAUUAUUCGAAUGACUUCUGCUAACAUGGACCCUGCCAUGAUGUUUCGCCAGAGGAAGAAGAGGUGGCGGAGUCUGGGGUCAUUGAGUCAAGGCAGCACAAAUUCUAACAUGCUAGAUGUUCAGGGAGGGGCUCACAAAAAAAGAGCACGCCGCAGCUCACUGCUGAAUGCCAAGAAACUGUAUGAAGAUGCCCAAAUGGCAAGGAAAGUGAAACAGUAUCUUUCUAGUCUGGACAUAGACACAGAGGAGGAGAAGUUCCAGAUGAUGUCACUGCAGUGGGAGCCUGCAUAUGGUACCU
rnacentral:lncRNA from 1 species